rnacentral:rRNA from 1 species
ACUCAAAUGAAUAGACGGGGGCUCACACAAGCGGUGGAGCAUGUGGCUUAAUUCGAGGCUACGCGAAGAACCUUAUCCUGGGCUUGACAUGUGCGAAAGCGCCGGGGAGUAGGCGCCGGAAACGGCCGCCCGACGGUAACCAGUCCGGGGCCCGGCACAGGUGCUGCAUGGCUGUCGUCAGCUCGUGUCGUGAGAUGUUGGGUUAAGUCCCGUAACGAGCGAAACCCUUGCCCCUAGUUGCCAGCGGGUCAAGCCGGGGACUCUAGGGGGACUGCCGGCGUCAAGCCGGAGGAAGGCGGGGAUGACGUCAAGUCCUCAUGGCCUUGAUGCCCAGGGCUGCACACGUGCUACAAUGGCGUGGACAAAGGGAGGCGAGCCCGCGAGGGGGAGCCAAUCCCAAAAAGCACGCCCCAGUUCAGAUCGCAGGCUGCAACUCGCCUGCGUGAAGCCGGAAUCGCUAGUAAUCGCAGGUCAGCAACACUGCGGUGAAUGUGUUCCUGAGCCUUGCACACACCGCCCGU